AUAAAACUAAACUAUUUGAAACUCUGCAAUGUUAAGAGCUUCCUCUUCUCCCAUCCUCUCCAUCGCAUGCCAAGUCCGAAGUUGAUCUCUCCAAUGAGGCUUCGGUAAGAAGAAAUACCCAUUCAGAGUACUCCAAGAAGAGAGAGAUGAGAAGGAGAAAAUUGAGUUUCAAAAUAUUUGGAAGGACAAAAGAGAAAAGUUAGCUUCAUGCUAAUGUCAGGACAGAACCGGAGAGGCUGUGUUCCCUGAAGGACAGACCUCCACCGAUUUUCCGUGGCAGUCGUCAAGUCUGAGCC
rnacentral:lncRNA from 1 species